CAUCUAAAGAGAAAAAACGUAAGAUCGACGAAGACCGGAGAAAAUGGCGAAACCAUUGGGAUCUACCGGAGAAUUUUUCCGGCGAAGAGAUGAGUGGAGGAAGCAUCCGAUGCUAUCGAAUCAAAUGAGACACGCACUUCCAGGUCUCGGAAUCGGUGUUGCUUCUUUCUGCGUUUUUCUCGUCGGUGAACAGAUCUAUAGCAAACUCAUGGCUCCUUCUUCUCAACCAUCGCAUCAGAAACAACCUGCUCCGUCUCAUUGAGAGAGCGAUUAGAUUGUUUCGAGAGACAGGUCGCUUUUUUGCUGCGUUUUGUCAUCUACAUUGUUUCGAUGAUGAAACCGUGGCGGAUAAAAAGCUGAGGGAUUCACAAUUUGCCGUGUUUUUCUUGGAUUGUCUCACUAAGCUGUGAAUGAAAGACAAAGACUUUGAUCUCUCUGUUGAAUGUUAUAAUCUUGUAUGACAGUUUCCAAUAAGGUUUCGUUAUGUGUUGUCUUUGCUUAAUAAGAAUUCUUAUGCAAUGAGAAUUCAGAUUGCCUCGUGUGUAAUACAAGCAGGCAUUCAUUUUAAAACUACAUCGUUUUUGGCGAUUUCAUGUUUUCACUCUUUUAAAAUCAACAAACUAAUUUGUUUU